rnacentral:rRNA from 1 species
AUUGAACGCUGGCGGCAGGCCUAACACAUGCAAGUCGAGCGGCAGCACGGGUACUUGUACCUGGUGGCGAGCGGCGGACGGGUGAGUAAUGCCUAGGAAUCUGCCUGGUAGUGGGGAUAACGCUCGGAAACGGACGCUAAUACCGCAUACGUCCUACGGGAGAAAGCGGGGGAUCUUCGGACCUCGCGCCAUUAGAUGAGCCUAGGUCGGAUUAGCUAGUUGGUGAGGUAAUGGCUCACCAAGGCGACGAUCCGUAACUGGUCCGAGAGGAUGAUCAGUCACACUGGAACUGAGACACGGUCCAGACUCCUACGGGAGGCAGCAGUGGGGAAUAUUGGACAAUGGGCGAAAGCCUGAUCCAGCCAUGCCGCGUGUGUGAUGAAGGCCUUAGGGUUGUUAAAGGACUCUUUUUACCCGAGAUGAUAAUGACAGUAUCGGGAGAAUAAGCUCCGGCUAAACUCCGUGCCAGCAGCCGCGGUAAAGU